GUAUCAAUAGGGUUUUGGG
rnacentral:siRNA from 1 species